GGCAUUGAUAGUCAUGGUUGGCAAUUUUUCUUCGUUCCAUUUCGUUACAACUCCUGUAUUGGAUUACUUGUUAUGCCAAUGUUUCAGAUUAUAUCGAGUACUUCCGUUAUCAUUGUUCUCCUCCUUAUCUGUAUGACCUACACUCUUAAUUAUCAUCGGAGUAGUUAGUUAAUAAAUUUUAACCUUUUACAUCUUAACAUCUUAAUUUUCGUGUGCCCGAGGCAAUAAACAAAUCAUAACGGUAUAUAUAGGAUAUAGUUAACUUAAACAUUCUCAAAAAUGAGUACUCGCCUCAGUUAAAAAAGAAAAAAAAUGGAAGUGGAGAAACCAAACAGUUUUUUUUUUUAGAAACGUGAAGACUGUACUCAAAGCAGCGAGAGAUUUCUUUUAAAGUGAAUUAUUAAAUGACCAACCAUACUACUCCCUUGGUGACAGAAAUCGGAAGUCGAAUCGGGGCAGCAGAAUAACUACAGCACCCCCUUCACCUGGUGGGAGGGAGAUAAUCACGUUGCGCUCGACUGACGCGAUCGAUAGCGCUUUGUCCAGUGGUCUUAUCCAUCUGUUCUCCGUAAACAUCCUGAUUAUUAACUUGGACUGUUUCCACAUGUCGAAAGGUUAUCUUCCGCUUCCGACCGACAGCGAGAAGAGGAACAAUAGUAACACUAAACGGAGAAGUCCCCAGAGUAACCGCGAUUCUUUUCCCCUGCCAUCCAUUCAUAUUGAUGUAGCAAGCAAUUAAAGCACUGUUUAUGUCCGGAUCGCCAUUGCUAGAAGCCAAAUCUUUUCUGGAAAGAAAAUCUGAGAAUUAAAAGAAACGUUGGUGCAGCUGCGUAUCACUGUGUUGGUUUAUUUGGCCGCCACUGCCGAGAAGAGAGAGGUGGAUGAAAGUACGAGGCUCGUAUUUCCUCUAACAAAGAAGCAAUGUGCCAUUUGCCCGUAUUGACAGAACAAGCGGCGGCGCAUCUCCAACCUGACUUAGUGGAGAAUGAACUGCGCUUCUCCACUAAGCGCUUUUGGUCGCUCUCUUAUUCUUGUAGUAGCAUUUACACUCAAGUGGCUCUGUCGGGAACAAAACGAGCUGGGCGAAGGUUAAUCCAGAGAGGGGGGAAAAGUGCCAGCGGGUCAUUAUCGACAACAUUUAACCUGUCCCUAUUAUCUGCACUCUAUAUGCUAAUAAGAUGAAAGUAGGACAGCAUCUGCAUGCCAGACACAAUUUGCAACACUCGUACCCAGCAGAUUGAUGACAGUUGGCUGGAUAGCACACAGAAGAGUACAUAAGGCAGUUUGCUACAGAAACUAUAACAGUUGUCGCCGGUCGUAAUGGCAGAAGUGGGGGAGGUAUGAACUCGCAGAUGGCC
rnacentral:lncRNA from 1 species